rnacentral:tRNA from 1 species
UGCUAGAUUAGUUUAAUUUUAAAAUUGGAUGUUUGGGUUGUUCGGAUUUUUUCUGGUUGUUUAAAAGAUUUAGUAU